GGCUUUGGGCCUCACACGUGGGGUGGCAUAGCUCAAGCAGGCUCAGGAUUUGGUCCCCUGUCUUGGGGUUGUGUAGUAAUUUUUGCUGUCGUAAGGGGGCUGGGGGAAAAUGAAGUUUGAGAGCCCCUGCCUGAGGCUACAGGACAGAAGACUCAGAAGCCCACUUUCCACUCUCUCCACCUUAGUCUUGCAGGCUGAAAUUCACAAGAGCUCUCACCCCAACCCCAGAAAGCAUUUGCUAAGCCCCAUAGAACUCAAGCACAUACUGAAGUGCUUUCCUGAAUGGGCAAGGGUUUAAGCAAUUAAAGUGCUUUCCUGCAUUCGGGACUCUUUCAGGAGAAAUGUUUAUCCAGCACCACCACCUGCUUCAGUGACUUUUUCAUAUCAGUACAGUCUUGGUGCUACUGCUGGAAGAGUUCAAAUGGGAAAGCUCUGUUGUCUGAUGAUGGAAGGGCCUGCUCCUACUCCCAUUGAUUUACACAGCUGUGUAAUUGUUUAUAUGGUGGUAGUACUGCAGAUUCAGAAUUCCAGUAGGCUGUUGGUGAAGCUGCCAUUUUGAGACCGAUUGAUGCAGAAUGUUAUGGAAGUCACAAGCUCAUAUGGAGACUUUACUUUUACUUACUGUAUUUGUACUGCAGCACAGCUAGGAGCCUGAUUCAUGGCGGACCAGGUAUUUUGAGGUGCUGAAUAAAUGCAAAAUAAAUAGUUUUGUUGUCACUUUAUCUAAAUUCUGUCAGGCAAAGUAUACAGUUGUUGUGUCUAGAAAAACAUAGUAGAAAGCAGCAGACAGUGAGAAUGCUUGCUGCCUCCCAGGAUUGGGUCCAGACAGCUAGAUCCUGCUUGCCUUGCUCACAUAAGUAGUGAGGUUAGCUUAAAUGGGACCACCAUUCUGAUCCAGGCAAGCAGUAUUCACACCUAAAUUUGUAACAUGAGAUAGGAGAAGUCAACACUUUUGAUAAUUUAGAAGGUGAAAUGAAAUGAGUGCUGUCUAGAAUUUUCACUCUUCUCCUCUGCUUUGUUCAAAUAAAGCCAAGGUUAACUAUUCAAAUCCAAAAAAAAAAAAAAAAAAGCCUGAACUGCAAUAUUUUCUAAAAUGCCCAUGACUGGUAUAAUGAUGCAAAGUGCAAGAAGUGA